UACAGAGGUCUCAAGCGUUGUUCGGAUUCAUUGGGCGUAAAGGGUGUGUAGGUGGCGCCGUAAGUGGGGUGUGAGAUCUCGGGGCUUAACUCCGAAACUGCAUUCCAUACUGCGGUGCUUGAGGACUGGAGAGGAGACUGGAAUUCAUGGUGUAGCAGUGAAAUGCGUAGAGAUCAUGAGGAAGACCAGUGGCGAAGGCGGGUCUCUGGACAGUUCCUGACACUGAGACACGAAGGCCAGGGGAGCAAACGGG
rnacentral:rRNA from 1 species